ACAGUUUGGGAUCUCGGCAACAUCUUACCAGGCAGCAUUUAGUUUUUGAAAGGAAUACUAAUACUGUCUGGUAAUGAUGUUGGUGGGGUUCAAACAGU
rnacentral:pre_miRNA from 1 species